GUGAUAUAGUGUGCUGUCUCAGCCAUCCUUGAUAUCAGCACACAGUAUAAUAGGCCCCUAUUUCAUUGAGAAUGAGGAAGGCAGUAAAGCAUCUACUCUUAUGUUGGGUGGUGAUAACAGCAUUGGCUCAUAUCAUCACCCAAGACCACUACAGAGACAUGACAAUUGUACUAUUCAGGGUUUCAGAAGGUUUUGUCAUGCAAAAGUCCUUCAUAUGAAUAGACAAUGUACCAACAGGAUGGGGGCAACCAGUUACACAGCUCAAGAAUCUUUAGCAAUUCUGCAGAAAACUUUCCAGGACAAAUCAUUUCACAUGAUACUGACUUCCCAAACCCAUCCCAUUCCCCUAUUUCGUAUACCACCUGAUUCCCAUUUGUAGGGAAUGUUAAAGGAAAAUGUGUUCAAUUGUGAAGAUCUGCCAAGAACUUUGCCUGCAUUAUGUGAGCAAAUUGUCUUCUUUUACAGGAAUCUGUAGUAACCUCUGUUCUGGGAUUUUUGAGAAUCAGCACGAAUGAUAUGAAUACUGUCUAUAAUAAGGAGAUGCAUACUCCAAACACUUGCACAUACCAUGGUAAACGAACACAUUAAUAGUAUGUGUGUCAGUUUCCUUCAGAAGAAAUAGACUAACAGAUGACAACAAGAUAAUAUUGUUUCUUUUCAUUUCAGUACUGUAUAUUUUGGGAAUACUGUAUUUUACUUUGCUCUAAUUGGCCUUUAGAUGUUUAAUUGCCAGACUACACCCAAUGCCACAUUCAUUGUGAUAAAAUAGGCUUGGUUGCAAUUUCCUGGGAAAUGAUUGGCUGCCAUAAAACAAAG
rnacentral:lncRNA from 1 species